CCCUUAGAUGUUCUGGGCCGCACGCGUGCUACAAUGGCAAAAUCAACGAGUAUACCUUUGUCGACAGACAUGGGAAAUCUUUUCAGUUCUUGCCGUGAUGGGGCUAGACCCUUGUAAUUGUUGGUCUCCAACGAGGAAUUCCUAGUAAACGCAAGUCAUUAUCUUGCAUUGAAUACGUCCCUGCCCUUUGUACACACCGCCCGUCGCUCCUACCGAUUGAGUGGUCCGGUGAGGCUUUGGGAUCUGAGCGGAAAGAGCGUUUCGCUGUUUCUGCUCGGAAAACUCAGUCGAACCUUAUCAUUUAGAGGAAGGAGAAGUCGUAACA
rnacentral:rRNA from 1 species